UUCGGCGGCCAUAGCGAGAGGGAAACGCCCGGUCACAUUCCGAACCCGGAAGCUAAGACUCUUUGCGCCGAUGGUACUGCAGGGGGGACCCUGUGGGAGAGUAGGUCACCGCCGGACUUCUUCGUUGAAAUGGCCACCCAAGGUUCUUGGGUGGCCAUUUUGCGUUAA
rnacentral:rRNA from 1 species